CCCUGGCAGCGCGGGGCGAACAGCUGCAGGAAGUCCCGGCGGCAGUAGGGGCGGCCCUCACGCUCGUGAAAACCUAGGGGCGGGAACCGAGUGGGCAGAAAGAAAAGGGUGCGAGGCCCUACCGGGGACCUACAAGAUCUGAGUCUGUGGGGCCAGAGGAGCGGCAGUCAGAGCGAGCAGGCUCCCCGCAACUGACGCAGCAGAAAUGCUCCGGGUGCCAGUGGGUGCCCAAGGCAGUAACCAUCUUCUGCGGGGAAUGAAAGGGGACACUCAGGGUGGCCCUCCAUCGCUUCUUCCCUCCCUCUCCCGCCCUGAACCUAGAGACCACAUCGUGGGGAGAAGCGCUCAAAGUAGCACUCGGGGCAGAAGGGGCCUCCAUCCUUCUCGAAGAAGCUGCUGCCUCCCAGGGCCAUGGAACAGCCACCGCAAACGAAGUGCUCAGGGUGCCAAGCACGGCCCAGCGCUGUCACUACCUGCGAGUUGGGGUUGAGGCCCCAGGUCAGAGUGGCCCUCGAGCUGCCAUGUUUAGGUGGUGCAUUUCAAGUCUUUUGUUGUUGUUGUUCUUUUUACCUUUUGACUCCUUUCAUCCAUUUCUCCCACCUCCCUACCCAAGUCUUAUCUCUGAGACAUCAGGAUGAAGAAUCUAAUAUUUAAGUCAGUCUGUAAGUGCCCAGGGCCCACAAUACUUUUAGGAGCCCAAGAAAAUGUAAUUUCUUUUAAAAUCAGAAGAAAAAAAUGAGCUAGAAGAAAAUGACUUAAUACAUAAUAAUAUAUUCAUCCUUACACCCACCCAGUCAUAAUACACAAUUUUUAGUAUUUUUUUUCUAAUGGAGAAAGGGAUCCACGAAGGCAAAAGUGCCUAGAGCCUACAAAAGUCAUAAUGCCACCCUGCUCUGAUGAGGUUGGAAAUUCUGGGAUGGGAGCAGGGCACUGGAUCUAGCAGGAGGAUCUAGGUCAACCACUGGGCACAGUUGUCAAUAACAUCUGCUCAGUCAAUAAGCCAAGAACCAGAGCUCCCAGAUCAGACCCUGGUGGGGGAGAAACGGUCUUUGGGGGUGCCUGAGAGAUGGUAGGUGUGCCAGUGAGGCUUCUGUGAAGAUUAAAUGAGAUGGGGGUUUGUAAAGGAGCUGGCACACUGCCUGCACACAGUAGGACCACAAUAAAUGGGAACUGGGUUGGAAUUCUCACGCUGCCACUUACCUGCUGUGUAACUCAGAGCUUCAGUUUCCUCAUCCAUAAAAUAUAAAUAACAGUAAUAACUUCUUCCCAGAGUUAUUUUUAAAAGGGAACAGCACAAAGACUACCUCUCAGUAAAGAUGGGUCCAUGAGUCUCUACCUCUCUACUCGCAGGGCUCCACUUACUUGCCCAGCAAUGGGUUUAUUGCAGGAGCCACACAGGCCCUUGGCCUGGGUGGGAACACCACGGCGGCUGAGGUCGGACUGCAGCAGCCCCAGCAUGGUGUCUAGGCUGCCCUUGCUAGUUGGCCCUGGUGGGGACGGGGAGCCCUCAUUCAUGGAGCUCGGCACUGUUGGCUGGGCUGGCCCAGAGGCUGGAAGCUGCAGCAGGGAGGACAUGAGAGUUGAAUCAGCAAGGCAGCAGAUGUGGAAGGGUCUAAAAUCCACACAGGCCCACCCUGCUGCCUGACUCACGUGGUUCUGGACGCGGAAGUCAGAGAGUGAGGCCAUCAGUCUAUCCAGCUCCAGGGUGGCCGAGGUGGCCGAAGGCUU